AAAAUAACCCUCUUUACGGCUGAGUGAAUAAAUCUCCUUCCUUCAUACUUGCAUUUAUCACGUAUUUUCUCUGUUUAGGAAUCUAUAGAUGUUCCUUUGGCCUAUCUUAUCAUAGUCUACACUAUAGACUCACAGGUGCCCAUAAAAUGAUAAAAUGAAAUGAAUAACUAAUUCAUGAUCCCUUUUCUUAGAGCAACCAGAUUUUUUAAAAAUAUAUAAUCUGUAAGUUUCCUACCCUCUUUUGCUUAUCCCUGUAGAGCUCAGGUCCAGAUACUUGAGCUGGUGACAGCUCCAUGCCAGCACAUGGAUUCCUGCAUUGGUAAUCUGUCAGCAACCACUCACAUUGAGAUACCUGUGUGUCCUCACUCCUCACAGGAGGACCGUGCAAAGGCAAAUUGCUAGGCAGGUAGACCUCACAGAUUCUCUCAGCCGGGCAGUCGGUGAGUCUGUCCAAAGCAUUUGAAUCUGAAGAUAAAAUGUUAAGAAGAAAAUCCUAGAAAAACAUGUCACAUAUAUUCUACCCACCGAACCAAACAAAAACAAAAAAGAAACACUUAAUUUUUAAUAAUGGGCGCAAGAAGUACUCAAAGUAAUAAAUAAUAAUAAUAAUAAAAGUUACUUCUUAGCCUGACUGUCCUGGACGAGAAUUCCGUCCCCACUUGCAGGUCGGGCACUGAGUGCCUGGACAGAGAGUUAGGUCCCCCGCUUACCCCGCCCUAAGGCUGCGGAAGGCGGCGCCAUCGGUCGCCAUGGAAAUCGCGGCGGAUGGGCGGAUCCUGGGCAGGUUGGCUGGGUCGGGCUGCCCGGGCGACGCCGGAGUUGCAGUUGGAGGCUGCGGGAAUACAAAGGGGUGUCUACCUUUCAAGAGGAACAAGAAAAGAGAGGUGGGAAUAUGGAACCAAGCCAAAGAUUCUGCAGGAUCCUGCACAGUGAGCAUUGUUCUGGUUCAGGCCACUGUGCUCAACUGAACAGUAUCAGUAGCACAACAUUUGGAUGCCCUUGAAUACUGUUCCUGUUUCAAUUCAUUUGUUUGUCUGAGAAUUGGGAAUGCAUGUCUGGGCAGUGACAAGAGGCCAAAGAAAGCAGAAGAUGUGUGAAGAGGAGAAUCGAUUUUCCAUAAUGAGAUGUCAGAAACACUGCUUGCUAAGUCAGCCUGAAACCAAAGAAGAAGAAUGGCAUUCAGUGAUAAGAACUGUUCAUGAGCCUGAAUUCCAUGGCUGCUCCUGCACAAACCACCGGACACAGAUCCGGGGAAAGGCAACAAAGUUGCCUCUACUUUGUGAGUGGCUAGAAGUUACUGGACAUCUGGGAGCCCUGGUGCCUUGACUGUAAAAUGGAGACAACAACUCCUCUCAUGGUUGUUAUGACAAGGAAAUGAGAGAUACAUAUCAAGUGCCUAACAUAGAGCUGGCUCCUAUGAACCAGAACUUAUUAAGCAAUUGUAGAAGGCAAGAUUUAAAGCACAGACUUUGGAGCAGUCCUUGGGUUCCAAUCCUGGCUGCAUCGUUUAUCAUCUCUGAGCCUCAGUUUCCACAUCUGUAACAAAAGCUUUCAUUUUACAGAUGUAAAAGCAGUGUGUACCUCCAAGGGGUGGUUGUGAGGAUUAAUCAAGUUAAUACACAUGGCAUUCUCAGAUCAGUGCCUUGCACGGCAAUUUACUCAAUAAAUGUUAGCGAUUUUUUUUCAAUACAUGGUCAUUUUUUUUUUUUUUGGUCUCUUUUUAACUGCUCAAGAGGAAGACUGUGAGGAUUUUAAAUAGCCUGGAUUCUCUUCCUUCUGUCAACCAUAUGUCUUAACAUACUAUUACGAGUUACUCCUCCCCAAUAGUAGCAGUAUUGCUGGUUGUGAGGAGUUAACCCGGCCAUGCCUAUUACCUUGGGAAACCUACAGAAGCCUGCUGAAUGCAAUUUUCUAUCUGCAAAAUGGUGAGGAUACUGGGUGUUUACAUGACUGGGUUCCUGACAUGGAAUAGGCAUUUAAUAAAUACUAACUAUAAUUAUAUCAUCAUCAAUAUCAUGCAAUUUAUCUACAUUAGAAACCAACAGACUUGACAAGUAUAGUGGAGUCAGCCAUUAGUUAAAAUAGUUUGAGAGAUUCACUGAAAUUUUAGCUAACUGCUAGCUCCAAGUGGAAAGAUAAUAAAUUAUUAUUACAUUCAUUAAAUGUUCUUUGUAAUCAGGUUAGACAUUAAGUAUCCAUUAAAAAGAGUCCUUGGGACUAACAUAUACUUCAGAGGACUUUUUAAAGAUUGUAUUAAUAAAACAUAUAAACAAUAAUUUUAAUAAUAUAUUUAUGAUAGGAGGGGUAUAUUCUUGGGUAUACAGUAAAAAGAAAGGGAAGCUGUUCCCAACAUCACUGAGAGACUGAGAGAAAGGACCAUAUGGCCAGGUAAUCAACCAUUUGUAUAACUUAAUUUCCUUGUUUGGAAAGUGAGACAACAGUAUCUGUUCUAUCCAAUUCAAAGAAAUGGUCAUGAGUGUCAAAUUAUGAUAACUUACAUGAACAAAACCCUGGAAAUGCAUAAGAUGCUUUGGCAUAUUAGACACUGUUCCUCUUAUGAUUUCCCAUAUCAGACUGAAUGUUUCCUGCCUGUAAGCUGAGAUAACUGCUCUCUGGGGCCCAGCAUCACCUUGUAGAGUCUGGGGAAAGGUCAAUAAAAAUCCUCUGGAGAAUACAGUUGCAGACAAAGUAUAGUUCAAGCAGCACAGCUGGGCAUUCUUCAACACCACUGUUCUCAGUAGCUCUAAGACCUCCUUAUCAUGACUUACUUCCUUGUAUUUUCCUGACUCUCCAACUUAUUUAUAAACGGAAAAGAGCACAUCAUUCAAAGCAGUCGGUUAACUUAGGUAAGGAAAGCCAACAAGCAUGAUUGUGACUCAAGAUAGUUGCUCUUGUUAAGUCACUGCUCCUGCUCUCCCUCUCCCUCCCCCUCCCCCUCUCCCUCCAUCUCUGUCUCCCUCUCUCUCCUCUGUCUCCCUCUCUCUCCACGGUCUCCCUCUGAUGCCUAGCUGAAGCUGGACUGUACUGCCGCCAUCUUGGCUCACUGCAACCUCCCUGCCUGAUUCUCCUGCCUCAGCCUGCCCAGUGCCUGGGAUUGCAGGCGGGCGCCGCCACGCCUGACUGGUUUUCGUUUUUUUUUUUGGUGGAGACGGGGUUUCGCUGUGUUGGCCGGGCUGGUCUCCAGCUCCUAACCCCAAGUGAUCUGCCAGCCUUGGCCUCCCGAGGUGCCGGGAUUGCAGACGGAGUCUCGUUCACUCAGUGCUCAAUGUUGCCCAGGCUGGAGUGCAGUGGCGUGAUCCCCGCUCGCUACAACCUCCACCUCCCAGCCGCCUGCCUUGGCCUCCCAAAGUGCCGAGAUUGCAGCUUCUGCCCGGCCGCCACCCCCUCUGGGAAGUGAGGAGCAUCUCUGCCUGGCCGCCCAUCGUCUGGGAUGUCAGGAGCCC
rnacentral:lncRNA from 1 species